rnacentral:tRNA from 3 species
GACCCCUUCGUCUAUCGGUCAGGACACAAGAUUUUCAUUCUUGUAAGAGGGGUUCGAUUCCCCUAGGGGUCGCCA